UACGUAGGGGGCAAGCGUUGUCCGGAAUUAUUGGGCGUAAAGAGCGCGUAGGCGGUCCGAUAAGUCGGCUGUGAAAGUCAGGGGCUCAACCCUUGAAAGCCGGCCGAUACUGUCGGACUAGAGUCCGGAAGAGGCAAGUGGAAUUCCCGGUGUAGCGGUGAAAUGCGCAGAUAUCGGGAGGAACACCAGUGGCGAAGGCGACUUCCUGGCCUGUUCUUGACGCUGAGGCGCGAAAGCUAGGGUAGCAAACGGG
rnacentral:rRNA from 1 species